AUUGAACGCUGGCGGCAUGCUUACACAUGCAAGUCGAACGGCCGCUUUACCUAGCUUGCUAGGUUGAUGGCGAGUGGCGAACGGGUGAGUAAUGCACCGGAACGUAACCAAUUAUGGGGGAUAACGCACCGAAAGGGGUGCUAAUACCGCAAUCGCCCUGAGGGGGAAAGCGGGGGACUCCCCAGGGCCCCGCGGUAAUGGAGCCGCCGAUGGCGGAUUAGCUAGUUGGGGGGGUAAAGGCCCACCAAGGCGACGAUCCGUAGCUGGUCUGAGAGGACGACCAGCCACACUGGGACUGAGACACGGCCCAGACUCCUACGGGAGGCAGCAGUGGGGAAUUUUGGACAAUGGGGGCAACCCUGAUCCAGCCAUGCCGCGUGAGUGAAGAAGGCCUUCGGGUUGUAAAGCUCUUUCGCAAGGAAAGAAAACCUAUCUCCUAAUACGAGAUGAGGCUGACGGUACCUUGAUAAGAAGCACCGGCUAACUACGUGCCAGCCGCCGCCGUAA
rnacentral:rRNA from 1 species